rnacentral:snRNA from 1 species
UGAAAUAAUUUGAAUCAACAACGG